GAUGCAGCAAUGACAGGAACAUGGAGAGGGUCAGGAAUUGAUCAGCUCCUUGGGAGGUUGUUUUCAGAAUGGUAGACAGGUGGAAAGGGGAGAGUGAGAUGGCAGAGGGCCUCUGGGUUCAGGUUUGUGGGAAGUAGCAACUUGCCUCAUAAUUAAAGCCAGGGUUCAUUCAGUGAGCAAUUAUUUUGCACCCCUAAAUUAGGUGAGGUUCUGGAAUCUUGGAAGCCACAGAGGUAGCAGUGAGCCUUGACCUUGAAGAGGUUUGUAUGCACGGAUGGAGGAUGAGUAUAUGGAUUAUGAUUCUGCAUUAUUAUACGCCUGGGAAAGGCUGGGAGAGGUGGUACAGGCAGAAGACAGGCAAGAUACAAAACUGUGGGAGUUAGAGUGAAGCCUGUGGAAAUGGAAGGGAGAGGCAAGUCAGACAAGCCAUUUUGGUUUGGGCACAGAACAUGGGGAAGGAAGGUGCUAAAAUUUUGAGCCAUAAUGGUUGGUAGAAAUAAGAAAGUUAGUAUUCAAACUUGUUCAAGGGAGACUCAUUUGAUUUCUUUUUCGGCAUCUUUAGAAUGAAGUUGGAAUAUCAAGUCUAGAAACAUUUAUGAUCUAUACAGAGUUUGACAUGGAAGUUAGUUCUGGGAAGAGGUUCUAGGACAAGCUUUAAGGAGAAGAUCUUGCUUUGUAGCCCUGGCUUGCUUGGAACCUACUACAUAGACUAGAUUGGCUACCUAGUGCUGAAAUCAUAGGGAUUUGGGACUGCGCAGGAGACGACUGGUGGUCCGGUGUGGCUUAAGGACUUGAUGGCGUAACCCACUUCUUCCACGGAGGAGACUGGGGAGAUGGAUUUGAAGAGGAUUGACCAAAUUGGAAGAAAAUAUUUGUCCUCUGCUUUGGUGUCAGAAAAGGGAAUUUUCCAAUCUGCCACACCUCAGUGUUGCGGCAAAAAUAAUUCUUGGCUCCCCUGGAAACUAUCGGGCAAGGUAGGGCAGAACUGCUGCUGCUAUUGAAUGGGCUGCUCCCAAGUGAACAGAUCUGCGUUGAUGCUCUGGUCGUCCAAAAGUCCUCAAAUCAGCUCUGAGCUGAGCCCACUAUUGGAAGAAUCUGCCUUUUGGAAGUUGCCGCUACCUUGUGCUUGGGAAGGUAAGGAUGGGGACUAACCUCAGAGUAUUGCUUGGAAACUGGCUGUUAUGAUGUUUCUCAAAAAGUAAGUGGGUAAGGCUUUGAAGGACUCUCUUUAGAAUGAUUUGUCAGUCUAGGGAACCAGGAGAUGAAUGAAACUGGGGCGGCAGCAGCUGUCUUGUACUGGGGGAAAGCUAGAAAAUUAGAGUUCUGGCACCCCAUCUUAUCCUUGUAAUGGGUCUCAUAUUUGUGGGAGGGGGUUUGCUUGGCCCUGCACCAUGCGUAGUGACUCCACCCAUGACUGCGCAUCCAGAGCAAGAACGCAUUGCACCCUGGGUCUCUGGCCUGGGACAAACACCUCCCUCCUUGUUAUAUAACUCAGGGUGGCCUGUGCCUUCUCAAGCCUCCUUUGCAACUCUACCACCCCACUCCUUGCCGCUCACAGCUGAGGGUCUGUUAGGGAACAGUGGGAGUUUCCCUCCCUGAAUGAGUUAGCCACUUAGUGACCAAAUUUGAGCACAGAAAUGAUCUGCUGUCUCAUCUGAGGACAUGGACCCCAGAAUGUCCUUCUGAGUAUCCUGUGUCACCUGUAGUCCCUGGCUUAGAGGUGGGGAUAAUGCCUUCCUUUCCCUUUUAUCCUUUCUAGUUUGGGGGCAGGGACUUUCUUAAGGGAAGGAGUGAAAACCUUUUGGGAGGGGGUUGGCAGUGUCCCUUCCUUGUCUCUAGCUUUCCUUUUCCUGGCUGGGUUUACACUCUGGAUUCCUUUGAGGCUGCCAUUUUGAAGGCAGAUCUGCUUGUCCUUUACAUGGUUGGCCCUGCUGUGCUAAUUCUAAGGAGUGGGUGGGGAUUUAAAAAGGGGUCUCUGAUAGAGGGAUACAGUCACUGUAUAGGUAGAUGCAGUUAUGAUUGUUGCAGUGAAGGUGGUCUGAAAGUAGAACUGCCUGGUUCCAUGCUGGGUCACAGCACUGGGUGGAGGUCUAAAUGGAAGCCUUCUGGGUCAGGGUUCCAUGGCGCGGGACCCCAUCUUUACCAGAGUAUGACUACUUGGCUUCCCUGCCCUAGUCAGCCUAAACCAGAGAUGUUCCACCAUGUGCCUAGUGAUGGAGGAGAGUGAAAGCAGACAUAGGAGCUCAUCUCAGAUGUGGUAGACCUGUGGUUUGUGUUUUUCAAAAAGCCCCUCUGUCUCUGUCUCUGUCUCUUCUCGUUUCUUCUCUCUCUCUCUCUCUCUCUCUCUCUCUCUCUCUCUCUCUCUCUGCCUCUAUAUGGAGACAUGGGUUGAGGUCCACAGCAGGCAGCAGCAUUUGGUCAAAUGCCUUUCCUCCUUGCCCCCUGCCAGGGCCACAGUUCUAAUUGCUGUUCUUUAGUGAGGCUCCCUGCUGCCCAACCCUUUCUAGACCCUUCUGCAGAUAGCGGCCAUCUUGUCUGCCUGCUCAGAGAUUUAAAAUGGUUUCCCAUUGUCAGCUUGAAAUUCCUCCUAUUCGGUAAGUACUCUGAGCUGACUACAAGUGGCCUUAGCUUUCUCAAGAAGCCUUCCUCGGGUGAAAACCAGACCACCCAUAUUUCCCUGGGUUUCUUUUCUCCCUAAUUUCAAUAUGGCUAUUUUUCCAUGCCUGCGAUCUACCUGUUGCACGGCCACUGUCUUUAAGGACCUCUCCCUGAGCACCCUAUAAAGAAGAAAUCCCUGUAACCACUAUUACGAGUCUCCUUCCUUUCAUGCUUUUUUUUUUAUGUGUGGUUCCGUGUAUUCUCUAUCAGAGUUUGUGCUCCAGUAAGAAGCCAGGGGCAGGAAGGCAUCCCUAUUCAGAACCCCUCAUGCCGGAUGCCAUGUUUCCUCACGAAUGCUACUUGGGUUGUUUGCUUGUUUGUUUGUUUUUGUUUUAUCAUAACCCUUUAGGGAGAAUCCUGUGGCUGACAAGAAUCCCAGCCUUCAAAAAUCUUUUUUCCUCCAUGUUUCCAAGAUGACACCCUCAAAUGUGACUAUUUAGAAGGUGACACCCUCAAAUGUAGCUAUUUUAGGAAUAUUGUAAGUCUCUAAAGUUGUGUAAGGUCAUUCAGCUGGUCCUUUUCCUUCAUGGCCAGGUUAAGUCAAGAUGAUAUAUUUUUUUUUGUACCUGAAAUGAACAAACCUCAGUUGUUUUGCGUGCCUUCCUCCUGGAAGAGCAGGCAGAGGUGGGUAGGUAGGAACACCUGCAGAGGAGGGUAAGCCCAGUCACUGAGAUAGGUACAGACACUGGACUAUACCAGGUCUGUAUACCCCAAUCUCAGUUGGCUGAUUUUAGACAGGUUAUCCUAUUUCAUGCCUAAGUGCCCUUAGUCUGUGAAGUAGAUUCCUAGCAGCCUGUUCUGUAGGAAUGUCCACCGUAUUUUCUGUUCUUCGUAGAUUUGGCUCAAGCCCUCUUUCCCUGCCUGGAGACUUAUUGGGGAUGUAAAAUUAGAGAAUAGCAGGUGACCAGCAAAUUAGGGGAGGAUUAAAUACUUCCAAGUUGUCACAGCAAGAAGAAAGAGGAAUAUCUCAGGAGUUUGACCUCAAGCCUGCAAAGUGGUGGUAUUCUACCAGGAUGUCUGUAUGCUUCCUGAUGCUGUUGAGUCCUGUGGGAGGAGAAUCUGAGCACCCUGAUGCCCCUUAUCCCCAAUUCUGGACUGUGGAGCUGAGAGUGACAACAGCCAAGAAUUUUGUAGAGUACAGCUCCAUCUGUAAGUAGGUGACAAUCUCUUGGCAACACAGGCUCAGCUGAGGAUGGUGUUUGUGCAUCUAAGCCAUCAUACUAGAGCAGUUUGCCUACAUUUUUGUGGAAUGGCAAAGAGGACCUGCUUGACCACCCUUCUUUCUAUGGGUGCUGAAAGAUGAAAAGUCAUGCUGGAUGAGGUUGCUGAGGUGGGAUGAGGGCCAGUAGGAUGCCAUGUAUAGAGAAGGAAAGACUUGGAGCACUCCAUGUGGCCAAAGCUCAAAUCCUAAUGGCCUUGGAUGUCUAAGACCUUGGAUGUCUCUUUGCUAGGUAAGAAAGGCCAGAGUGAGUUGGCACAGAGGAGGGGACACUGCCUUUGGCCACUGGCUGCUCUCCAAAACAGGUGAACUUUGUGCUUGAAAGGAAUGCCAUUUACUCAUUUGGGCCUAAUAGAAGUUUCUUGUAUUUUCUCUCCUUUUUGCCCCUCCUUUCUCUCCUUUACCCCUCCCCCAUCCUUGCUGCUUCCUCAACCACCAAAGAAUUUAAUCUGCUGCGCAACAAACAAUACAGUUAUAAAACUUUGAAAACAAGACGGGGUAGCCUCUCCAACAAGGGAAAGGGCAUGCUGGAUGAUGUCCCCAGGGAACAUGUCAGGCUUGUAUAAAGCCUGUGAGAGCCUAACUGACUGGGUAACUGGGUGCCUGCUCUGCCCAGUGCUAAGCUAUCCCUAGUCCAGAGAAGGAAUCUAAAUGAAAGAGGUCAGAGAAGGGCUUAUAAAAGGGAAUCUGUGUGUUUUCUCCCUCUGAUUUGAGGGGAAUGCACUAAACUGUGCAACUUCCUCCUCUGCUUCCUCUCUCUCCUCUCCCUCCUUUUCCAUUUUCUCCCUCCUACCUCCCUUAAUCCUCCACCUCCUCCUCAUUGUUCUUAAGACUAGCAGACAGAAGUAAUGAUAAUAGAAAAGGGUUAGAAUAGCAGUGUAGGUGCUACUACUGGCUGGGCCUGCCAAAGAUGAAACAGGGUUUGAGGCUUUUGCCACCCACAAGCUCAGAUCUAUCUCUGCUAAGCCCAGCCUCCUUCUCUGACCUGAGGCAGUGCAGCCACAUACACAUCAGAAUGUGCCCCAGUCUAUAUACUGCUAGGUAUGUGCCCAGAUACUGGGCAGAACUACCACUGAGAGGUCAGUGGGUCCACCCUGAUUUCCUUAGGGCUGUCCUGAGGAUGGCGAAUUGAUAUCUCUGCUAUAAGAGGUUUUGCCCUCUACAGGAGGAGCAAGGUUUGUUGCAUAGAACUUUGUUAUUGAGAACUCCUGAGAACCCAGUGAGUAAGCACAUGGUCUGGUGAGUAUGGCACCAGAUAGGAUGUUAUGCCUGUCUCUUAUCUCAAGAAACAAGGAAUCUUGUUUCUUAGCAGUAGUAGGAGGAAUAGAGCAGUCCUGGCUAAAUGAGAGGUGGUAAAGUUGGUCUUGAGUAUCUCUGUCCUGACCUGAUAAAGCUGGUAUCUCCUUACUGAAUUUGUAUCCUCUGAGCUGUAUAGACAAUUUGAAAAUGUUAAUGGAGUGGGCUGUUUGGAUAUAGGGCCAUGAACUUUGUUAGGCACUGGGAGACUACAGGCAGGCUUAUCUUUCCUCUUGUGGUAAGCUUCAGCUUCCACAAAAGUGGUCUGGGCUGUGUUUCUUUUGCCUGUGAGAGCAAAGCCUUCUGCCAGUGUACAGUGCACUCUGGCCUUCACUCUGUACCUACCCCCUCCUCACCUUCUAAACCAUGUGUAUUUGGAGCUUGUUAGCCUAAAAUCAGUGACCACCAACUCCCAAAGUGGGCAUAAUAUCCUCGACACCCGGCAUGUCCCUCAAGUACCUGCUUGGGUAAUCAAGGAAGAGAUAACCUCUUCAGAAGCCUAGGGGGGCAGUGCUAGUUCAUCCCAGAAGGCAGCUUGGUACCAUGCCCUGUCUAGCCCAGAUACUGUGUAAGGAUCUUAGUGCUCUGUACAGAAUCUUACUGAGUUUAGGAGCUUUUGAGACCCAAGAAUUGUUCAAUAGCAUUAAGGAGAGGGGCAGAAAACCUAACUUUUAGGUUUCCGGGGGGAACAUAGGUGUCCUUAUCUCUGAUUCAGUGGAGCCAGGAGAACUAGCACUGCCCCCCUAGGCUUCUGAAGCGGUUAUCUCUUCCUUGAUUACCCAAGCAGGUACUUGAGGGACAUGCCGGGUGUCGAGGAUAUUAUGCCCACUUUGGGAGUUGGUGGUCACUGAUUUUAGGCUAACAAGCUCCAAAUUCUCCUUUACUGAUGGAUCCUCAACAUAUUCUCCUCAUUUUAUUACCCUUUCCUUGGAUUCACCAGCUUUCUGGCCACAUGUUCUACCUAGCCUGACAGCUAAAGACAAAAUGUCCUGGAUGCAUGGCCCUAGCUGCUGCUGAAAGUGACAAGCCAGGCACCCUCUUCAGUGCACAUAAGCAGGUGGUCUUUUUUGGAGGUAAGAUGUUCCUUUUUUUUUUUUUUUUUUUUCAAAAAGGCCUUCCCUAGCCUUCUCUCCCAAAGAUGAAUGAGUUUUUCUAACUGGUGGGAACUCCUAAAUCAGCCUUCAAAGGCAGGCAAAGAAAUGGAUGGCAGGCUUCUGGCACCCUCCCCCACCCUGGCUGGAAUUCUCAUCAUGCACAUAGCUGUGACUCAGCACUCACUGCUGGGUCAGGAGGGAGAAGCUAUUGCCUGGCUGGAACCUUCCCACAUUCUGCAUGUGAGCACAUCGAACAGCACAGGCUGGGCCAGCAGGGUGAGGUUCCCGGGGCAAGAAUUUUUCUCCUCUAACCCAUAUUCUUCCCACAUUUUAGGGAUUUCUGUUCUGGGCCCAGGGUAUUUAGGACUCUAAAAACCAUUGCAUCGGCCAUAGACUAAAGUAUACAUAGUCUUUUUCUUCUUUGCUUUUAACCAGUGGCCCAUGAAAAGUGUUCAACCUUUAUUGGUACUGUUUGGUUUUCAUGGGUUAGGUUUUCUAUGUGUUAAUUUUAUAUCUAGACAGAAUAUGACUUUUCAAGAUUACUGUACCUCUCUUGCAUGCUGCUGUUGUCUCUGGCUGUGUGUAUACAUGUGUUCUGACCAGUUUUCCCUAGCUUCUCUUUACAGAUGAAGACACUGAAGCCAUUCAAGACUAUGGCAGGUCCCUGUUCUCAGCAUAUAGGCAAGCAGGUAUUCUGAUUUACCAAGGAGUGGCAUUGCCUCUCCCUGUCUGCCCCUGCCUUACCAAAGGAGUGACCUGUCAUGGGAGGGUAGAAUGGCUUCCAGAGAGAAAUAGGUAUAGGAACAGAUGGAGGCUGAAGAGUGGCGUCUCAGACUUCUUACCUGCUCUGUGGCCUGUUCAGAACUGAAAAGUGAGGCAGGGUUUCUUUUCUAGACAACUCUAUCAAUCCCAGUAACAUAAAGUUUACUUGAAGCCACUCAGUUGAGAAGGGAGAUCCCAUUAUUCUCACUGAGAGCAGAGCCCUAACAGCCCUAAGGUUUGCAAGGGCUGCCCUCUUAGACAUUCAGGUAACUCUCAGACUUUAUCAAAUCAUCCAGCUAUUCCAAACUAGUGAAGAAUCACCACCUUGUUUCAGAAAAGGGACACUGCUCUGCUGACUACAGGAAUCCUGCUUUUAUAGGAUGCUGAAGACUGAGUGGGAUUGGAUGAACAUAAGGUUUAAAUGCUAGGACUACUUUCCCUCCUCUGUAGUUCACUGCUUAAAUUAUCUUUCAGUGAUUCUUAUUUACAGAAAACAGGGUUUGCAGUCCAUGGAUGUAACCCAAGCCUUCAUUGGUAGUUUCCCCUUGCCAGGCCCUUUAUUUGCUGGAUAGGAAGAAAGGAAUUAGCUUCAUGUCAUUCUGAGGACCAAAAGAAACAGGUGUUUUCUAAAUGAUAGCAAACUGGAAUGGCCCGAGGGAAAGCUUUCUAGAGCUGAGAUGGCUGACAGAGGAGGUGGAGGGUUGAUAAAAGGAGAUGCCAGCACAAGCAGAGCCUUCUGGGAGGAAAGGUGUGCCCUGGAUCCCUGCAGGAUCUCUCUCCUUAGCAUAGAGGGAGGGGAUUGGGGGAUGGUAGAGGAAGUUGCUAAGAAAAUUAGGCUGAAAUGGAAAUCAGAAGAGUUGAAUAUUAUCAUACGCAAAUCUCACCUUCCCCUUCAUUUACAGGAUUUUGACCCUUGUUAAUAACUGCCAUCUAAUCUAUUUAUGACCUAAAGCCCUCCCUAUCAUGGGUUAGAGUUCCUAACCCACAGGCUCUAAUUUUGCCAACCAAUGUCAGUGUCACUCAGAAACCCAGUGUAUAGAUCUUCCAGCACUCAUCUGCAGCUAAGGCCCUGGAAAGCCCCAGGGAGGCUGCUAGGCCUUCUGUUUCUCCUCUAGCUGGCCCAGUUUCUGAGAAGUCAGUGUCAGCAUUGCUAGGCUUCAUUGCUAUCAUCUUCUCUAUUGCUGGGAAGAAUAAAGGGGCACCAAUGAGGCAAAAGAACAAAAGCAGGUCCUCCUAGACUACCUGACCUCUUGCAGUACCAACGAUGUGUUCUCAUCUUCACCCAGGGAUAGCAUGUUUACAGUGAGUCUCCCAUCCAGAUUGUCUGAGCUAAAUCCCCCUCCCCAGUCUAGCUCUGAGUUCAGUUCAAGAGAAAAGAGGUCACAGUCAAGCUGUGGAUCAAGCAGCAACAGUGGGCAGAGGGAAAGGAAUAUAGACAUUAGCUCAUCGUAUCCUGUGACUACAGUUUCUUGUGCAGACAUCGGAAUAAUAACCUACUUCAUUGGACUCUUGGAACAAUUGAGUAUUGUGACUCUGGGGAUGCUCACAUUAUAUUUGCUCUAUUACCCCAAAACAGCCAGGAGCCAUAAAAAUAAAAGAUAUGCUUGUAUCUGGAAUCCAAAAAGAGUUUCUGGGGAACCUGAAAAAUACAGCUCUACUCUUUGUCUCCUUUCAAAGAUGAUGGUUGUGACAUCAGAGGAAAUAUACAGCAAAGAUGUAGUACAAUGUGGAACAUAGCUUGUGAAUCUUAUUUUUAGGUACAUUUUUAAAACAUACCUUGUUUUUAUGUUAGAGGGUCAUCUGUAUAGUAAAGUGUUAAGAUACCAGCUUUUUAAAAGACAUUAGGGGUUAAACCAAAUUGCUAGCCUACAGAGUCAUGGGACAGAGAGGAGGAAGGGACAUACUCUUUUUGAAUAAUACUUGUGGAAGAGUUGUCCUGGCACAGGUGACUUACUUGGGUUCAGUUGUUAACAUCUCAUAGGUCAUUGUCAUUGUCUUAAACAAGUGACAUAUCUACCGACACUAUGCAUCUUGGGAAAUAUACAUAAAUUCAAGACAUUACAAAUGUACAUAUGUUGAAUGGAUUUGGUUCUUUUAUUUCGUUGUGUAUGAUGAUUUCUAAUGACUAAUGUGAAGUCACACAGGAAACAAGCUUUGCAUUGUUCUUGUCUGCUCAAAGUGUUGGCUGUGAUUCGGAUGCUGCUGAGUAGCACUGUAUGGCUGUCAUCUGCGUCUGACAGGCAAAAUGAUUCUCAGGGCUGAGGCUGGUUCUUCUGACUGCACAUCUCUGCUUUCUUCAGUGAGAUCCUCUUCUUCUGGAAGCUGGUUUCACAUGGUGGCUUAGAUUUUUCCAUCUUUGUAUCUAGCACCAUUUGAAAUCAGUGUUUUAGGAGUAAGAAUUGCAGCACAGCAGAAGGUAGACUACAGAGGAACAGCUGUACACAGAACUGGCUCUCUCCUUCGAGAAAUCAAGGGAAGACUUGAAUAGUGACAUUUGUUCUUGAGUCUGUUUUUGUGUUCAGAAUGUAUAAGGGUGUAAUCAGGAUCAGGGAGUGGUCCACUUUAUUCAGCAUUCCAUGGGUGGAAGAGGGUGCCUUGAACCUGCACUGUUCAUUAAUUGUAGCAAAGAAGGGGUAAGAGCUCUGUAUGUGGAGGACUGCUUCAUUCACAUCAGUACUGCCUACCUGAACCUGGAAGAUCUGUGGAGCACUCACUCAGUUCUGGUUGCAGCACAGCUGAAAUCAGCCUGCCUUGAGAUUCAGACCUGAAGAACACCACCAGUCAGUCCAUCUCUUACACAGGCUGACCGAUUUCUCCUGGUGUUCAGAGUCUGUUUUUGUCUAGCACCAUUUGAAAUCGGUUAUGAUGUAGGGGGAAGAGCACCAGCCUCAGAACCUUGUGGUGUCAGCAUCAGCAUCAGCCUGUCACUUCCUACGUGGGCAGAGCGGAAAAGGAAGAUCACAGUUUCCUAACUUCUUUAAUGCGUAUGUAUGUGGCUGCCAAGGUUAAAGAUCACUUAGUGGGGGGGGGGGGUUAAUUGUUAUAAUUUAUUGUUGUAAAAUAUCCUCAGUUACAAUUUCUGACAUGUAGUACUGUUAUAAACUAAGUACUGUUAAACCGUCUGUUAAGUGUUGGCUUUAAUAAAUAAUUUGCUACAUUCAA